rnacentral:rRNA from 1 species
GAUGAACGCUGGCGGCGUGCCUAAUACAUGCAAGUCGAGCGAACAGACGAGGAGCUUGCUCCUCUGACGUUAGCGGCGGACGGGUGAGUAACACGUGGAUAACCUACCUAUAAGACUGGGAUAACUUCGGGAAACCGGAGCUAAUACCGGAUAAUAUAUUGAACCGCAUGGUUCAAUAGUGAAAGACGGUUUUGCCGUCACUUAUAGAUGGAUCCGCGCCGCAUUAGCUAGUUGGUAAGGUAACGGCUUACCAAGGCGACGAUGCGUAGCCGACCUGAGAGCGUGAUUGGACACACUGGAACUGAGACUCGGUCCAGACUCCUACGGGAGGCAGCAGUAGGGAAUCUUCCGCAAUGGACGAAAGCCUGACGGAGCAACGCCGCGUGAGUGAUGAAGGUCUUCGGAUCGUAAAACUCUGUUAGUAGGGAAGAACAAAUGUGUAAGUAACUAUGCACGUCUUGACGGUACCUAAUCAGAAAGCCACGGCUAACUACGUG